UAAGCCCCGGUGCAUCGAAAACUAUCAUUUCUGCCUGCACCACACACCGGAUCGAACAACGAAUGGAAUAAGCUCAGUCCUAUCAUUUCCUAUGUCAUCGAUACUCAAAGGUUCGUUUCAAAUACAGAUGUGUUCCAUACGGGUGCCUUUUUUCCCCAUUAAUUGGUGGAUCAAACUUCAUAUACAUAUUUGCACACACGAGUUCUAAAGAGCCUAAGCAACAUAGAUCAUUUCAUGAAAGGAUCAUCUUUUCAAGAAAACCAACCAAAUCAUCAACUUUUAUAAAUCCCAACAUUGGAGCUUACUCCAUUCUACUAUAGGGAAACAAACAAAAUGAUAAAAAUGUCACAGUUGAUAAUUUUGGAGUCAAAUUUUUUGAACUUUCACUAUUUUUUGUAAAAACUUAUUUAAAAACUACUCCAUUGAAAGUCUUUAUAAUAUGUUUUUUCAAUUUUUUUUAUCUAUAAUAAAUUUUAAAGAAUAAGAUGUCAAAAGUUGAAAAUUUUGAACCACUAAAAGUUAAAAUGUGACGAGUUUACUGAGAGAGAGAGAGAGAGUUACUCCUAAAGUUAAAAGAUAGCCCGUAGAUCGAAGAAAAUAUGAACUUGAUUGUUUAAGUUUUUCUAGGUAUUCAGGAUGAUACUCCUUAUACGUGUCAGACGUGCUACACAUAGAAGCUCUAGGAAAAAUGAAGAGUUCGGGAAAAAAAUAAGGGAUUUUGUGCUACAUAUAGAAGCUCUAGGAAAAACCUUGGGGAUGGACCGAUAUGCAGCCUGUUUGCUCUUGUUAUCCGAUAUGGCAGCCAUUUGUUGUCUCAACUCAUCAACGAAACGAAUGGAUUUUGUGCUUGAUUUUGAGCUUCCUCUGAAAACCAUAAUCCUUUUCCCUUCAGAAUUUAAAGACUGACUCUCAAUCAGUUUCUGUUGAUACACUUCCUGCCAUCAAUGAAGAGAAAACUAAAAAAAACCAUAAGUUUUCAUCUCCAGAUUUUUGCCAUUUCUAAAUCAAUAAAUUUCAUUUUCAGAAACACAAAGGAAUGGUGAAGAACGUACAUUGCAUUUAGAAGAUUUGAAGUCGGUGGCUUUGUUGGUCAACAGAGUGUGAGCUCUAUCAAGAUCCAUCAAACUUCUGUUGGGUAAAAACCGAUCCCCCUUAAUGAAGAACAAAUGAAUUCAAGAAACUUACAGAACAUUCAAUGGAGAAAACCAGAAAAGAAGAAAGAUGAAAUUCAUUUGUACCGGAAAAUCGUAUCGAGUGGGACUGUCAUGGAGUCUUCUUGGAGAAUACCAAUAAGAUUGAAGGAGUCUCAGCUUAUCGCUUUGAUCCAUUUUCAAGGGUUUCCAAGAAACACAAUUGUGGAGAAGAAAGAAAGUAAGAGAAUGGAGGAAAAUAAAAUUACUGCAAACCCUUGAAGAUUUGCAGUAAUUUGCGGAAAAUAGAGGAAAAUGGAAUUACUGCAAAAGUAAGUAAGAAACGCAACAAGGCUUUUGAACCUUUCUCUGAAUCCCGCCAAAAGGAAGAACCGUUGAUAUGGUUCAAAGGUCUGGGUCGAAAAUAGGUUUGAAUUUGUUAAUAAUGGGUUAACGUUACAGUUUACCCCUGAACUUUCAUUUAAUGUGCAAUGUGGUAUAUGUAUAAAGAUAACUCAUCCCAUACCGAAUAAAAAAAUACGUG
rnacentral:lncRNA from 1 species